CCUACGGGUGGCAGCAGUGAGGAAUAUUGGUCAAUGGGCGGGAGCCUGAACCAGCCAAGUCGCGUGAGGGAAGAAGGUACUAAGUAUUGUAAACUUCUUUUGUCGGGGAACAAAGGCGUAGACGCGUCUCGGGCUGCGUGUACCCGGAGAAAAAGCGUCGGCUAACUCCGUGCCAGCAGCCGCGGUAAUACGGAGGAUGCGAGCGUUAUCCGGAUUUAGUGGGGUUAAAGGGUGCGCAGGCGGGCGAUCAAGUCAGCGGUAAAAUGUCGGGGCUCAACCCCGGCCGGCAGUUGAAACUGGUUGUCUAGAGUUGGAGACAGGUAUGCGGAAUUCGUGGUGUAGCGGUGAAAUGCAUAGAUAUCACGAAGAACCCCGAUUGCGAAGGCAGCAUACCGGCUUGAUACUGACGCUGAGGCACGAAAGCGUGGGGAUCGAACAGGAUUAGAUACCCCAGUAGUC
rnacentral:rRNA from 1 species